rnacentral:rRNA from 1 species
GACGAACGCUGGCGGCGUGCUUAACACAUGCAAGUCGAACGGAAAGGCCCUGCUUUUGUGGGGUGCUCGAGUGGCGAACGGGUGAGUAACACGUGAGUAACCUGCCCUUGACUUUGGGAUAACUUCAGGAAACUGGGGCUAAUACCGGAUAGGGGCUCCUGCUGCAUGGUGGGGGUUGGAAAGUUUGGGGGGUUCGGGAUGGACUCGCGUCGUAUCAGCUGUUUGGGGGGGUAGUGGCUUACCAAGGCGUUGACGGGUGGCUGGCCGGGGAGGGUGACCGGGCAGACUGGAACUGAGAGCGGCCCAGACUCCUGCGGGAGGCAGCAGUCGGGAAUUUUGCCCAAUGGACGAAAGUCUGAGGCAGCAACUCCGCGGGAGGGAUGAAGGCCUUCGGGUCGUAAACCUCUUUUCCCAGGGAAGAUCCAAGACGGUACCUGGGGAAUAAGCCACGGCUAACUACGUG